rnacentral:lncRNA from 1 species
CUAAGAAAGAUGUUACUAACUAGCUUAAAAUCUAUGAAUCAGUCUUCUAGUCCCCUAUGGGGCCAUUACUGGAGAUACUGAACCUUUUUACUUUGUCAUUUAUCUUUGCUUAUGGGCACAGGAAGACCAUGCUGCAAGACCUGCUUCCUUGGGUGAUUGAUGGAGUUCUCCCUGGCUGACUACCCCAGGACACAAUGCCAGAAGAAUCCUGACUCCUUUGGCUUGCGCAGAAUGUCUCAAAGACUGACAGCCACACUUGACUCAUUAUUUUUUUGUUUAUGAAAAUAUCAGAAAGACGACACCUAGGAUAAGUUUUCAGUAUCAGUGUAUUCAAACAAUAGCAAUAAGAAAACAAAGGCACUUCCUUAAAUCUUUUUCACUUAAAUAGUAAGUAUGAUAUUGUAUUGGGGGAAUGAAGUUAUACUUGGGAUUUUUAGAUGUUCAAUUUCUCAACAGAUUGUUUAAAUCAAUAGUUCCUGAGGCAAAAGAUAUACAUCACAAUUAAUGUCUGUCAAAUUAUUAUUAUAUGGGAAUCUGCAAAUAAUUUGAUUUUAAGAAGGGCUCUUCAUUCUCACCUGAGUAAAAUAUGUACUCCUAUCUUUAUAGGUAAUGGAUGAGGGAAAAAAAUUGAAUAAUUAUUUUUGUUUUCUAGAAAAAUCUUCUAUUGAAAAAUAUCAAGUUUAAAUAAUAAUAUUAUCCUGUCUCUCCUAUUUCAAGCAACUAUUUCAAUGUAAUUACCAAACAACAAUCUGGAACUGUAAAAAUACACAUUAUGCCUGGAACUGUAAAAAUACACAUUAUAUUAUUUAUGUUUUACAACUCUAUGAGGCAAGUUUUAUUUUCCUCUCUUGGAGAAAACUGAGGCUUAGAGCACUGUACUUUGGCAAGCAUGACCACAGCUCUAUUAUAUGACAGAACAUACAUUAAGCCUUGUAGUAUUUAAUACUUCUGCUGUACACAAGCCAACCAAAGGCAAAAAUCACCUUCAAAACAAUGCUGAAGAGACAUGGAUCAGCAAUUGUAAAUAAUUAUAUUA